rnacentral:rRNA from 1 species
GACGAACGCUGGCGGCGUGCCUAAUACAUGCAAGUAGAACGCUGAAGGAGGAGCUUGCUUCUCUGGAUGAGUUGCGAACGGGUGAGUAACGCGUAGGUAACCUGCCUGGUAGCGGGGGAUAACUAUUGGAAACGAUAGCUAAUACCGCAUAAUAGUAGAUGUUGCAUGACAUUUGCUUAAAAGGUGCAAUUGCAUCACUACCAGAUGGACCUGCGUUGUAUUAGCUAGUUGGUGGGGUAACGGCUCACCAAGGCGACGAUACAUAGCCGACCUGAGAGGGGGGUCGGCCACACUGGGACUGAGACACGGCCCAGACUCCUACGGGAGGCAGCAGUAGGGAAUCGGCGGCAAUGGACGGAAGUCUGACCGAGCAACGCCGCGUGAGUGAAGAAGGGUUUCGGAUCGUAAAGCUCUGUUGUAAGAGAAGAACGAGUGUGAGAGUGGAAAGUUCACACUGUGACGGUAUCUUACCAGAAAGGGACGGCUAACUACGUG